rnacentral:tRNA from 30 species
GCCGCCGUGGUGAAAUCGGUAGACACGCUGCUCUUAGGAAGCAGUGCUAGGGCAUCUCGGUUCGAGUCCGAGUGGCGGCA